AGAGCGCAGCGGCGAGCGUGACUCCGCCAUCAGGUCCCCGGCUCCCUCCCCGGACCUAGCCCACUCCGCUGCGCCAGCGCCGCGGGCACCCCCGGCCGCCCCCCAGCGAAGACCUCUUCUACGAGACCUACUACAGCCUGAGCCAGCAGUACCCGCUGCUGCUGCUGCUGCUGGGGAUCGUGCUCUGUGCGCUCGCGGCGCUGCUCGCAGUGGCCUGGGCCAGCGGCAGGGAGCUGACCUCAGACCCGAGCUUCCUGACCACUGUGCUGUGCGCGCUGGGCGGCUUCUCGCUGCUGCUGGGCCUCGCUUCCCGGGAGCAGCGACUGCAGCGCUGGACGCGUCCCCUGUCCGGCUUGGUAUGGGUCGCGCUGCUAGCGCUAGGCCACGCCUUCCUGUUCACCGGGGGCGUGGUGAGCGCCUGGGACCAGCCCCACUUGGGCCUU
rnacentral:lncRNA from 10 species